rnacentral:rRNA from 1 species
ACCUUAGAUGUUCUGGGCUGCACGCGUGUUACAAUCGGGAGUACAACAAGAUUGCAAAUCCUAGUGGAUGAGUGGUUCUUCGAAAUUUUCUGAAGACUGGGAUAGUUGAUUGAAAUUAUUCAACUCGAACGAGGAAUUCCUUGUAAUUGUAAUUCAUUAUAUCGUAAUGAAUACGUCCCUGCCCUUUGUACACACCGCCCGUCGCUCCUACCGAUUGAACGAUCCGGUGAAUUAUUUGGAGUAGCUCUGGAAGUUGCAGAACUUCCUAUGUCACGAAAUUUUGUAAACCUUAUCGUUUAGAGGAAGGAAAAGUCGUAACA